rnacentral:lncRNA from 1 species
GUAAAAAUAUGUCUUCAAUUGUUUUUUAAAACACUGAACAGAUUUAGAGUGACGAAUUUGUACAGGUAGAUUGUUCCAUAGGGUAGCGGCAGCACGAUUAAAUUGUCUUUCACCGUACGUUUUUGUUCGGACAUGUGGCAGUUCGAGUCUAAGGCUGCCCUCUGAUCGUAGUGCCCUAGUUGUUGUUUGGAGAUGUAAUAGUUCCUGUAUAUAGUCCGGGGCAGUUCCUUGCAGUGCCGUGUACGUAUAGACAAGGAUUUUGAACUUUGGCCGGAAUUCAACAGGGAGCCAGUGCAGUCCAGCGAGAAUAGGUGUAAUGUGUUCUCUUUUCCUAGUUUUCGUAACAAGACGGGCUCCAGUGUUCUGAACUCUCUGUAACCUUUCAAUUUGACACUUGUUAACGCCGAAGAGUAGACUAUUUGCGUAGUCAAGUCUGGAAGUUACAAGGGAAUUAACCAGAGUUUUACAAGCAUCCGUAGAGAUGAAAUGUCGGAUUCGUCCAAUGUUGCACAGAUGGUAAUUACACGAUUUUACGAUAGACGCAACUUGUUUUUCCAUGGUAAGACGGCUGUCAAAAUAAACACCAAGAUUACGUACCGAUGUGACACUAUUGAUGACAUUUUCACCUACUUUAAGUUGGAAAACAGGCAUGUUCUUCGACUGAUGUUUCGAUGAA